rnacentral:tRNA from 1 species
GGCUGGGUAGCUCAGUUGGUACGAGCGAUCGCCUGACUGCGUCUGAUUGCGGCUGCGCCGCGGGCGAUAGGUCGCCGGUUCGACCCCGGCCCCAGCCACAA